CCCCCUUACAAAAAAUUUUUUUUCGAAAAUCAAAAAACUUGUGAUGGGGAUAGUUAGCUGUGCUUGUUGGCAGUAUAAGACGGUCUUCAUUUCAGCUCUGUCGCCGUUUUUGGCCAAGUUAUAGAGGAAACCCCGCUUAAAAUGUAAGAUUUUUGACAUUUGCUGUUUUCUGUGUGUAUUGGCGGUACAAAGCAGUCUUCGAGCUAGAGAGCUGAAAAGAUUCAGAUUGCUUUCAUAAAAAUCUCUAGCGCGAGCCCCUAAAGCCAUCCGACUCCCUUUAAAGACCGCCGCCUCUGGGGGAACCCCCGCCCGGGUGAGUGUGCGAUAUCUGUAUCUGCCAGAUGCAUCUAGUUUUGGCUCUCGACUUGCAUGGGGAUUGGGGCUCAAACAAUUUGCCGCCUGUCAGUGUGACAAGUGUUGCGAAAUGCCGCUGAAAAGCCGCUUUGCCGCACACACGGCAAAGACUCAUGGAUAGUUGAUAGUUGAUGGUUGAGCAGACAGCUGAACAGUGAGCUCUCCUCUUGACGCACCACUUGGCGUCUCGGAUUCAAGUUUGGUCAGUCCAUUCGUUGCGGAUAUGCCACAUCUUAGUGGCAAGUCGCUGAAUCAGAAAGGGAAUGGGUCUUGCGACUGAAUAUAGUUUAAGAGCUUUAAGAAUCUUUAUUUGUUUCGUAAGGAAUUUGUGUUUGAUUAAAAUUUUCACGUAAAAAGGUGCUUGAAGAGCUCAGUGAACUUCUGAAGCUGGGCUCUAAUGCAUUUCGUUGCUUAUUUGGUUUACACUUUAUUUUAUUUAGGUGCCGUUUGGCUUCUUUUUUUGCCGUCUUGAGCGGCUUGAUGCGAAUUGACAGCUGUUUGCCAGAUGCCCGAGGUUGGGGGAGCGUUCAGAGGCGACUGUCAGCCAGACUCACUGGCGGCACAACUUCAAAAACUACUGAUUUAAUUCGCCACGAAAGCGUUUGCAAUUAGCGAACGGUGACCACAGUUGGCGAUGUUCAGUAAACGCGGGAAAAUGGGCAAGGAACUGUGAAUUGUAUAAAGUAGUAAACUUCGCUAAUUCAUAAUUCAUAACUUCAGAUCGGUGACUUAAUUCGCGGUGCAAGGAGCGGCAAAACCCCAAAACUAUUGAUGUUCCCUAGUGCCAUCAGCAGCGGCAUAUGCAGAUAGGCAUACUUUAGAUCUGUCACUCUUCAUUAGCCCUAGCAUAGAUUGUCCUUAUUCCAAACAUGUGUAUCGAGUCGAGUUAUUGUAGCAAGCCGAGCCGUGUUAGCCGUCUUUUCAGUCCCCUCAACGUGAUCGCUGCCACAACUGUCAAGCAAUGCCGACGACGUACGGCUGUCGUCUCACAAUUAAUUGACAUUUUGACUGCCGAGGAUUGUCAUUCAAAGGCAAACUUCUUCGAGCGGAAUGCACCGAAGGAGCCCCUCGCCAAUUGACAGAGAUGCUGAGAUGCGGAGAUGCGGAGUCAUUCGCCGAACAGCAAAAGGCACACCAUUAACUACUGUCUUUGUCUGAACGGAAGGUCUGAGUGUUUGGUUUGAUAUGGAAGUUGCUCGAAACAUUCACAGAGGUAGAUCUUAAAAGAUUUUCAAAGCGAUUUAAUAUUUUCAGAUAAUAUUUAAAGUUAUAUUUAGGGGCUUAUAGUACGAUAUAUAAACUUAAUCCUCGCUGUAUUUACGGAAUGCACGGAAUGCCUUUAAGUCGCUGACUACUGCUGUUCCGAUCCGUUUCCAAGCUAGAUAAUCUGCCUCAGCGAUCUCAAAGGCCCAAAGGCACUUCAGCUGGCCCAGAUCUCUGGGGCUCUGCGAGGUUCUGCAGCUACGUUGGCAAUACAAUUGGCACAUGUUUGGCCAGUCCUGUCCCCGUCUGGAGCUACUUCGACGGUCUCUGGAGGGCAUCAGAGUUUGGGGAUCGGGAAUCGGGAAGCGAGAAUCGAGAAUCGAGAACCGAGAACCGGGAGACCUGACAGCCCGUGGCAUUGUUUGGGCUUUGGGGAAGAUUCGAAGAAACAGAAGAUGGCAUCUCCAAUGGGCGGCGAAGAGGGAGAGCGGUCGGGUCAAUUCACACGUGCGCAGGCGCGCAGUUCAAUUAACUUAAUUGCCAUGUAAUUACGAGGAGCAACAACAACAGCAACAGUGAGUAAUACCACGCCACAAACCACCACAUCGCAACGUCAUCUCCAACAUCCUGCUGCGCUGCGCAAAAGCGAAACUAAAGACUUAGGACACAAACCUGCUUUCGAGGCUUUUUGCGAUGGCACUUCUCUUAUACCCUCACAGAACUUUAUUACGGAUUUAAUUUGGGAAAUGUUAGCUUGUAUCAAUUUAAUAUCAACAAUUUAAUAUCAGUUUAAAGUCAACUAUUAACAUUUUUGCAA